rnacentral:rRNA from 1 species
AUUGAACGCUGGCGGCAGGCCUAACACAUGCAAGUCGAGCGGAUGAGAGGAGCUUGCUUCUCGAUUCAGCGGCGGACGGGUGAGUAAUGCCUAGGAAUCUGCCUGGUAGUGGGGGACAACGUUUCGAAAGGAACGCUAAUACCGCAUACGUCCUACGGGAGAAAGCAGGGGACCUUCGGGCCUUGCGCUAUCAGAUGAGCCUAGGUCGGAUUAGCUAGUUGGUGAGGUAAUGGCUCACCAAGGCGACGAUCCGUAACUGGUCUGAGAGGAGGAUCAGUCACACUGGAACUGAGAAACGGUCCAGACUCCUACGGGAGGCAGCAGUGGGGAAUAUUGGACAAUGGGCGAAAGCCUGAUCCAGCCAUGCCGCGUGUGUGAAGAAGGUCUUCGGAUUGUAAAGCACUUUAAGUUGGGAGGAAGGGUUGUAGAUUAAUACUCUGCAAUUUUGACGUUACCGACGGAAUAAGCACCGGCUAACUCUGUGCCAGCCGCCGCCGUAACAC